CCUGACCUCGGAUCAGUCGUGACUACCCGCUGAA
rnacentral:rRNA from 1 species